rnacentral:rRNA from 1 species
UACGAAGGGGGCUAGCGUUGCUCGGAAUUACUGGGCGUAAAGCGCACGUAGGCGGCUUUCUAAGUCGGGGGUGAAAUCCUGGAGCUCAACUCCAGAACUGCCUUCGAUACUGGAGAGCUCGAGUCCGGGAGAGGUGAGUGGAACUGCGAGUGUAGAGGUGAAAUUCGUAGAUAUUCGCAAGAACACCAGUGGCGAAGGCGGCUCACUGGACCACAACUGACGCUGAGGUGCGAAAGCGUGGGGAGCAAACAGGG